rnacentral:RNase_P_RNA from 1 species
GCAGAGCCACGGUCUGUCGCUGGUGUCCAUAGGGGCACGAGAGGAAUGUCCGGGCAGCAUAGGACGCUCCACUGGUGAAAGUGCCAGCUAUUGGUGACAGUAGGAUAUGGGAGAAGAAAAUGACCGCCCAUACGUGGGUAAGGGUGAGAAGGUGGUGUAAGAGACCACCAGCCGGCGGGUGAUCGUCGGGCUGUUCCAUCUGGAGGCUGCAAGUUCGCGUAUACCAUCGGCUGAGGGCUGUCCGUCCGAGGCGCUAGCCACGAUGGAGGGUAGAAUGCUAGAGCCGUAGGGUAACCUGCGGAGUAGAUAAAUGACAGACACCCCGCAAGGGGUACAGGACCCGGCUUACAGGGGCUCUGCUUUC